CAGAGGGUGCAAACGUUGUUCGGAAUUACUGGGCGUAAAGCGCGUGUAGGCGGCUAUGUAAGUCGGGCGUGAAAUCCCACGGCUCAACCGUGGAAGUGCACCCGAAACUGCGUAGCUAGAGUCCUGGAGAGGAAGGUGGAAUGCUUGGUGUAGAGGUGAAAUUCGUAGAUAUCAAGCGGAACACCGGUGGCGAAGGCGGCCUUCUGGACAGUGACUGACGCUGAGACGCGAAAGCGUGGGGAGCAAACAGGAUUAGAUACCCUGGUAGUCCACGCCGUAAACGAUGAGUGCUAGGUGUCACGGGCUUUGACCCUCGUGGUGCCGAGCUAACGCGUUAAGCACUCCGCCUGGGGAGUACGGCCGCAAGGCUA
rnacentral:rRNA from 1 species